rnacentral:rRNA from 1 species
GAAAUGCGAUACGUAGUGUGAAUUGCAGAAAAUCGUGAACCAUCGAAUCUUUGAACGCAUAUUGCGCUGGAGGCUUUGGCCAACAGCAUGUCUGCCUCAGCGUCGGGUUAAUUCUCGUCCAUUAUCUACCCUUGUGGUAAGUAACUUGGACGGAUCUGGCCUUCUCAGUACCUCCCUCACAGGAGGAGCUGGGUUUGCUGAAGUACAGAGGUUAAUGCAUGAACCCGUGAAGGGCUGCAACUGGUUAGGCAGUAAUGCUAUCGAUUAGUUGUUGGUCUGGGAACAGCAUUCGACCCUCCACAAGGAAACUUACUUAUUUCCUCGACCUGAGCUCAGGCA